rnacentral:rRNA from 1 species
UACCUGCAGUCGAGCGGGGGAAGGUAGCUUGCUACCGGACCUAGCGGCGGACGGGUGAGUAAUGCUUAGGAAUCUGCCUAUUAGUGGGGGACAACAUCUCGAAAGGGAUGCUAAUACCGCAUACGUCCUACGGGAGAAAGCAGGGGAUCUUCGGACCUUGCGCUAAUAGAUGAGCCUAAGUCGGAUUAGCUAGUUGGUGGGGUAAAGGCCUACCAAGGCGACGAUCUGUAGCGGGUCUGAGAGGAUGAUCCGCCACACUGGGACUGAGACACGGCCCAGACUCCUACGGGAGGCAGCAGUGGGGAAUAUUGGACAAUGGGGGGAACCCUGAUCCAGCCAUGCCGCGUGUGUGAAGAAGGCCUUAUGGUUGUAAAGCACUUUAAGCGAGGAGGAGGCUACUCUAGUUAAUACCUAGGGAUAGUGGACGUUACUCGCAGAAUAAGCACCGGCUAACUCUGUGCCAGCAGCCGCGGUAAUACAGAGGGUGCGAGCGUUAAUCGGAUUUACUGGGCGUAAAGCGUGCGUAGGCGGCUUAUUAAGUCGGAUGUGAAAUCCCCGAGCUUAACUUGGGAAUUGCAUUCGAUACUGGUGAGCUAGAGUAUGGGAGAGGAUGGUAGAAUUCCAGGUGUAGCGGUGAAAUGCGUAGAGAUCUGGAGGAAU